rnacentral:lncRNA from 1 species
GAACCCGGGAGGUGGAGGUUGCAGUGAGCCAAGAUCACACCACUGUACUCCAGCCUGGGCAACAGAGCAAGACUCCGUCUCAAAGAAAAAAAAAAAAAAUGGGAUUGGGUUAGAGGCCCAACUUAGGAGAGUUAGAGUCCCUUCUAAGAUUUAAAGGGUUAGAGACCCCUCUAGGUAAAGUCCUUCUCGGCUAAGAACAGGUUCAGCACUAUGGGAUGUUAACUGCAAUUCUCUUUGGAUUAAUCUGCCUUGCACUGUUUGCUGAUGGCUGUGGGUGACAGGGUUAGGCCUGUACAGGAUCGUGGGACAUGGGAGCUUUUUCCUUCCUGAAAGGGGAAACUUGAGAGCUGGCGGGACUGCUGGGAAAAACCCCUUAACGACAGCAGCCGCAGCCACCUGAACUUUAAAGCGUCGCUGCAAUGAGGGGGUCUUUCUCUGGCCUCCCUGAUCAUUUGGACUUCCCCACCCUGCUGCAGGCAAUACUUUCCUUCUCUACUUUUCCUUUCCCUUUCUAUCUUUUCUAUUACUCAAGGCGACCAUCUUGCCCAGAGACCACGUGUUGAAACUCCAAGUCAGAGGUUGGAUCAAAGAUGACGGGGCCCAUCUGGGGGCAAAUUUAAGCUUCGCCAGUUUGAUAUUGGGUGCUAAGCAGUGUGGCUAAUGUCUAUGUUUUUUGUUUGUUUGUUUGUCUAAGACGGAGUCUCCUGUGUUGCCCAGGCUGAAGUACAGUGGCGUGAUCUCGGCUCACUGCAACCUCAGCCUCCCGGGUUCAAGCGAUUCUCCUGCCUCUGCCUCCCGAAUAGCUGGGACUACAGGACGAUGGUGCCACAAGCCUGAUCAGUAAUGCCGCUUAGGGAAAGGGAACCCAGAAGCCUGGCAUGCUGGCAAAAGGGUAAGAAUUUCCUACCAGUCAGAUUUCUGGCUUCUCUCUCUGUGAAAAUGGUUCAAUAAAUGGAAA